GACGAACGCUGGCGGCGUGCUUAACACAUGCAAGUCGAACGAAGAGCGAUGGAAGCUUGCUUCUAUCAAUCUUAGUGGCGAACGGGUGAGUAACGCGUAAUCAACCUGCCCUUCAGAGGGGGACAACAGUUGGAAACGACUGCUAAUACCGCAUACGAUCCAACCUCGGCAUCGAGGAUGGAUGAAAGGUGGCCUCUAUUUAUAAGCUAUCACUGAAGGAGGGGAUUGCGUCUGAUUAGCUAGUUGGAGGGGUAACGGCCCACCAAGGCAAUGAUCAGUAGCCGGUCUGAGAGGAUGAACGGCCACAUUGGGACUGAGACACGGCCCAGACUCCUACGGGAGGCAGCAGUGGGGAAUCUUCCGCAAUGGACGAAAGUCUGACGGAGCAACGCCGCGUGAGUGAUGACGGCCUUCGGGUUGUAAAGCUCUGUUAAUCGGGACGAAAGGUCCUCUUGCGAAUGUUAGAGGAAUUGACGGUACCGGAAUAGAAAGCCACGGCUAACUACGUGC
rnacentral:rRNA from 1 species